rnacentral:rRNA from 1 species
AUACGGAGGGUGCAAGCGUUAAUCGGAAUUACUGGGCGUAAAGCGCACGCAGGCGGUCUGUCAAGUCGGAUGUGAAAUCCCCGGGCUCAACCUGGGAACUGCAUUCGAAACUGGCAGACUAGAGUCUUGUAGAGGGGGGUAGAAUUCCAGGUGUGGCGGUGAAAUGCGUAGAGAUCUGGAGGAAUACCGGUGGCGAAGGCGGCCCCCUGGACAAAGACUGACGCUCAGGUGCGAAGGCGUGGGGAGCAAACAGGAUUAGAUACCCUGGUAGUCCACGCCGUAAACGAUGUCGACUUGGAGGUUGUGCCCUUGAGGCGUGGCUUCCGGAGCUAACGCGUUAAGUCGACCGCCUGGGGAGUACGGCCGCAAGGUUAAA